GAUACUGGACGUGUGACAAAAAGUAUUUCAAAUAUAACACCUCGCCCAUUGACAUAGGUAUAAUGGCAAAGCCUAUAGGAAGCUGGUUUUGGUACAUAACAACGACGCAAGAAUACUUUGAUAACAUAUUAGGCCAGGCUACUAGACUGUCAGCUGUGAAAUUUAAGUGCUUUAUCCGAUACGUUAUUGUUGACUACAAAACGACCCCAGCUGCGAACGGAGAAUAUCUUAUAACGGUUGGAAAGGAACCGAACACUAUGUUAUUCCAAACCAGUGUAAAACUCGAUGGCUCGACCACUGUGGGCGUCCUGUACAGCGAUUUAUUCCUUGAGGUCAAAUUGGAAUAUGUAAAUAAUGACAAACCGGGUUAUUACAUCACAGCUCGGUGCACCCUGCUCAACAUUAAGAUCUUCGUGGCCAGACACUGUCUGCAGAUUAACAUCCCUCGCGUAUGGUGUCAGUGGCUGGAAGGAAUAUGCGGGGAUUAUGACGGAUUUGACUACACCGACAAAAAAAUCGUUGAAAAUUAUCCAGAGGCUACACCAAAGCCCUUCAACAGAUGGCCUGGAUACUAGUCGUAAAUGUUAUGACUGAUUACCCAAGACGCGAUGACCAAUGAACAGAAAGAGAGCGAACAUAGUUACUUUUGCACGAGGCUUUUUCCCUUUUAACCGGUCACUGAUGCGGAGCAAGAGGAGCACUGGACGCCACUUUGUUUCACAUUCCUUGGCCUGGACACGGAACUUUAUCGACAUGGGACACUUAAUCUUUUGUUAAUAUCAUCGGCAGAAAAUGUUGCAAUCCAUAGAUUACUACAUUUAAGAAAAACUUAUUUUUGACUUACUUAUGUCUUUUUGGUCAACGCCCAUUGGAGAAUCAAAUAUCAUGAAGAAUGGAACACGAACAUGGACAAUGAAUCUAUUAUUUGUGGGGGUGCACGCUACUCCUUCGGUUCUACACUAAUUAUUCUUGAAUUUUGUCAUAGUUUUAUGUAUUUUAGGUUGAUGUAUUGAUUUUUAAGAUUGACAGGGUUGAUGUGUAUUGUGUCUUCAAGUAGGAUUAUUGCGGGGGAAUAUUUAUAUACAUGUGGAGGUUAAAUUUUACGUUUUAUCAUAACAGGUACAUAUAUUUCGAGGUAGUGUUCGAAUCCUGAGGAAAUCACCGAAAAAAAUACUUUCCAUAAAGGAAAACAUAUUUGACAAAAUAAAACUAGAAAUCAAAACGAUGUAAAGCAAGAGAAAAAAGUACCACCAAUAGGUGCAAAUGAGUUGGAAGUGUUUCAAAUUUAAAUUUUGGCGCUCAUUUCAUAAAUGUGAUGUUAACGGGUAAGU